rnacentral:rRNA from 1 species
CCUACGGGGGGCUGCAGUGAGGAAUAUUGGUCAAUGGGCGGAAGCCUGAACCAGCCAAGCAGCGUGCAGGAUGACGGCCCUACGGGUUGUAAACUGCUUUUAUACGGGAAUAACGCGCCUUACGUGUAGGGCUUUGCAUGUACCGUAUGAAUAAGGACCGGCUAAUUCCGUGCCAGCAGCCGCGGUAAUACGGAAGGUCCGGGCGUUAUCCGGAUUUAUUGGGUUUAAAGGGAGCGUAGGCCGCAUGUCAAGCGUGCUGUGAAAUGUCCGGGCUCAACCCGGGCCUUGCAGCGCGAACUGGCGUGCUCGAGUCCGCGGAAAGCAGGCGGAAUUCGUCGUGUAGCGGUGAAAUGCUUAGAUAUGACGAAGAACCCCGAUUGCGAAGGCAGCUUGCUGCAGCGGAACUGACGCUGAUGCUCGAAAGCGCGGGUAUCGAACAGGAUUAGAUACCCGAGUAGUC